rnacentral:rRNA from 1 species
AUGAUGGAGGUGGCGGCGGCGUGGGACCAGUUCAAGGAGGAGGUGGAGAUCAUGGAGGAGGACAACGGUGGUGCCGCCGCUGCUGCUGCCGGGGAGCUGCUGACCAGGGAGAUCAAGAAGAGGCUGCUGGUCCAAGCCCAUGAGAAUGGGAAUGGCCAUGGCCAUGCCAAUGGAGGAGGAGCAGAGGAGCCCGAGGCUGCUCCCGAGGUGGAGGAGGAGGAGGAGGAGGAGGAGGGUCCUGAAGAGGAGCAGCAGCGUCACAAGAGUAUCUUCUUGGAUGCAGCCAAAGUUCCUGAUAUUAUUAGUGAGGUAAGUGCCAGAUAUUUGGUCACGGGAACGAUGCGAUCUGGUGACGAAAAGGAAGACGCAGGUGAAACUCCGAGUACAAAAGACAAGCAGCUUGAAGCACAUGAAAAUGGCAGUGUUCAAGAAAUCAACCAUGGCCCAAGCAACCGCGAGUUAGAAAAUGGAUCACACUCAAAUGGUUCACAUCAGGUCCCCAACGGCGCUGAACCUAAGACAGAGUACCUGUUCGAAAUCAACAAGACUGAAAUUCACCCAACUGAAGUUGACAAGGACGAACCGGUCACCGAGGCUCAACCGAAGGUCGAAGAGUACGACCUCGAGAAGAUUUUGGACCAGCAAGAAACUCAUGACCUGUUCUGUCCCAACUGCAAGUCGUGCAUAACUCGGAGGGUGAUCCUCAAGAAGAGGAAAAGGACAGUAAGGCCAGCAACCCCCGAUGGACCGUCGAAGAGACCGUACACUGAAGAAGUGCUAGUGCCACUGCCUUCUGCUACUCUAUCUCGAAGUGAUGAGCAAGAGUCACCCGACGUGUUCAGAUGUUUGUCAUGCUUCUCCUUCUUCAUUCCAGCAGCAGGAUGCAGUUUCAACAUAUUCCGUAUAUUUGGGAGGAGGGAUGUGGACGGACAACCUGAUGUUCUGCCUCCUCCUGCAUCAGAGGACACGCCUCCUCGCUCUGAAAACUGCACAAGCUGGCUUCUGUCAUGUUUCCAGCCAGGAGAUAGCCCAAACCAACCUGCUCCUGCUGCAGAUCCACUGACGGUACCGCAGUCGACAGUCGAAUCUUCUUCGGAGAACCAAGCUGCUGAAGAUCCAGCGACGAUGCCACUGCAGUCCGAGACGCGGAACUCCAAUGAUACAACCACAACAACUGAAUCUAGCACAUCCUAUAUUCAUCAUAGUCAUGGCACAGUUGUGAAACCAGAGCACUCAAUAACCGGAUCAUCGUCGGAAGAUCAGACGACGACAACCACCACAACUAGGACGACGAAAGCAACAUCUACGUCAUCCUCUACAGCCACAUCAAAAGCAGCUAACACAUCAUCUCGCACACAGUCUGCUACAGAAUCGUCGCGUGCAGGGAUCUUCCACACAGACACACUGGAAGUGAUAACCGGUGAAAUGCCUCCCCCGAAGCCUGCCGGUGGUGCUAUCAUGGAUGGAAAUCACCACCUACUAGGCCAUGAAGAUGUUCACAGAGCUGCAACGACUACCUUCGAGAAUGGCUUUACAACCCAUUCAGUUCACACAUCAGGAACGAAGGUCGAUGGCCCGAAUGUGACGAAUAUCGCGAGGGGCGACAUAUCAACUACGCCGAUUCCUGAAGCAACAGGUCCACAUCAUGUAGCGGUAUCAGUCCCUGAAGAAGUGAAUCUGGUUGCUCCUAGACCACAACAGAGGGAUGACUGGGAUAUACUGAAAGCUAUAGUGUAUGGAGGCUUAGUGGAGUCAGUCACCAGCCUCUCUGUUGUUUCGGCGGCAGCAUCAAGCGGCGCCAAAACAUUGGACAUAUUCAUCUUGGGCAUGGCCAACCUUAUCGGAGGGCUCCCUCUCGUUUACCACAAUAUCGCCGAUCUGAGAGAUGUCCGAGACGUGAGCGACGACAACGAGCGGGUCGGACACUACUGGCUGCAGCUCGGGAGGCGGUCGAAAGCCCGGCUCCACAUGGUCCUGGCCCUGCUCUCAUACAUGGUGUUCGGGCUACUUCAACCGGUUGUCUACGGGCUGUCGUUCCGCGAGAGCAACAACAGGGAGAACAAGAUGAUGGCCGUCGCCGGCGCUUCCCUCGCGUGCAUCGCUCUGCUGGCGCUCGGAAAGGCGCAUGUCCAGACAGCACCCAGGGCAUACUUCAAGACCCUCGUGUACUACCUGACGAUCGCCGUGAGCUCGUCGGGGCUGUCGUACGUCGCCGGCGUGCUCAUCACGAGGCUCCUGGAGCACUUUGGUGUCAUCGAGCAAGGCGGGUCGGCUGCUCCUGCUCCUCCAGGGCUGUCGUUCGCUCAUUCAGUGGGUGCACAAACAUCUGCCUGGGCCUCAUUCUAA